rnacentral:rRNA from 1 species
AUACGGAGGACGCGAGCGUUAUCCGGAUUCAUUGGGUUUAAAGGGUGCGCAGGCGGCCGUGCAAGUCAGCGGUGAAAGCCCGGGGCCCAACCCCGGAAGUGCCGUUGAUACUGCAUGGCUUGAAUGCGGUCGAGGCGGGCGGGAAGUGGCGGGUUGCGGUGAAAGGCGUAGGUAUGCCACAGAACGCCGAUAGCGGGGGCAGCCCGCCGGGCCUGCAUUGACGCUCGGGCACGAAAGCGUGGGGAUCGAACAGGAUUAGAUACCCUGGUAGUCCACGCCGUAAACGAUGGACACCCGCGGUUUGGCCUGUAUGGCUGAGCCGCCAAGCGAAAGCGUUAAGUGUCCCACCUGGGGAGUACGCCGGCAACGGUGAAACUCAAAUGAAUUGGCGGGG